rnacentral:rRNA from 1 species
CGGCGGACGGGUGAGUAACGCGUGGGUAACCUGCCUCAUACAGGGGGAUAACAGUUAGAAAUGACUGCUAAUACCGCAUAAGACCACGGUACCGCAUGGUACAGUGGUAAAAACUCCGGUGGUAUGAGAUGGACCCGCGUCUGAUUAGGUAGUUGGUGGGGUAACGGCCUACCAAGCCGACGAUCAGUAGCCGACCUGAGAGGGUGACCGGCUACACUGGGACUGAGACACGGCCCAG